CAUGCAUUAAUGGUGAUAAGGCUUAAAAUUUAAAAGCACUUUGAAUUAAAUUCUGCUUAUACAUUUUUAUUAAAUAUCACUUUUGACUUUGGUGCCUUUGUAUUCUUCAGAUGCUCUUCAGGUUAUCAGCAAGUGCUAGUGCGAUGGCUGACUUGUAAAUGUGUGUGUGUUUCUUUAAUAGCCUGAUUUUCCCUACAAAGAUGACCUCCUGGCCUUGGACUCCAGCUGCCUCCUGUUCAUUGUUCUUGUGUUCUUUGCCUUAUUCAUCAUUUUUAAGGCUUAUCUAAUUAACUGUGUUUGGAACUGCUAUAAAUACAUCAACAACCGAAACGUGCCGGAGAUUGCUGUGUACCCUGCCUUUGAAGCACCUCCUCAGUACGUUUUGCCAACCUAUGAAAUGGCCGUGAAAAUGCCUGAAAAAGAACCACCACCUCCUUACUUACCUGCCUGAAGAAAUUCUGCCUUUGACAAUAAAUCCUAUACCAGC
rnacentral:sRNA from 1 species